AGGACGAACGCUGGCGGCGUGCCUAAUACAUGCAAGUCGAACGGUCUUUCUAUGGAAGCUUGCUUCCACUGAGAAGAUAGUGGCGAACGGGUGAGUAACACGUGGGUAACCUGCCCAUAAGAGGGGGAUAACAUCCGGAAACGGGUGCUAAUACCGCAUAGUUUUCUUGAUCGCAUGAUCGGGAAAGGAAAGACGGCCUUUGUGCUGUCGCUUAUGGAUGGACCCGCGGCGUAUUAGUUAGUUGGUGAGGUAACGGCUCACCAAGACGACGAUGCGUAGCCGACCUGAGAGGGUGAUCGGCCACAUUGGGACUGAGACACGGCCCAGACUCCUACGGGAGGCAGCAGUGGGGAAUAUUGCACAAUGGGGGAAACCCUGAUGCAAGCAACGCCGCGUGAGUGAUGACGGCCUUCGGGUUGUAAAGCUCUGUCUUCAGGGACGAUAAUGACGGUACCUGAGGAGGAAGCCACGGCUAACCACGUGCCAGCAGCGGC
rnacentral:rRNA from 1 species